CACACAGUAUGAUGCCAGAUCUGUCUUUGAAGAAACAGCUAUUUACACUGAUAGACAAAUGAAUCGCACAUAAAAUCAGAAUGGUAAAUCAUGGAUAAAUCAACAGUUGCCUGAGUAAAUUAUCCUUUCAACAGAGGCUUUGCUCAAGUUGAAUUGUCUCCUUUGAGUGCAGAUUUGAUUCUAUGCAAAUGGAUCAUCCAUAUUUAAAUGGUUAGAAUAAACACAAAGACUAUUUACAGCAAUAUGUUUCAGUGGGGCGAUGCUGAUUAAUUUUGUUUCUGCGGGGGAAAAUCCUGCCCUAUUACUGCUUUGCAUCUGUGUUAAAGUAUGAUCAUACAAUGUUCAUCCCCAUUUCAUCUCAUUGCUCUGCUUUGUUUCCAGUGUUUGAUGUCCACAGAUCAAAUGACAACUGAGGCUUUAAAUCCAUUCUUUUCAUGUCUGCCAAACGCGCUCCUCUGCAUGCACUAUUCAGCAGAUCUGCUUCACUGGCAGUAAAACUACGCAGCAGAAAAAAGCUGCAAAAGCCUUUGCAAAGUCUGACUGACAGCUCCUUGCUACCAUGGCAUCACACACCAAGGACGGAGGGCUUGUUCAUCUGAAGGAAGGUGUGGAAAACAGAUAAUGCUGACUACAAGCUGACUACAAGUUUCGAGAGUUUGGUGAAGAUUAGUUUGGUUGGUAUGGAUCCUUGUAAAGAUCGUCCAGGAGAUGUUCCUGACAUGUGGCUUUGUCCUGACAGCAAGCUGUCCGUCUCAAAAG